AGGGAGAGCCUGUGAUCAUUGGGCAGGUGGAAUCCCUCUGUUUAUAGAUAUAUUUAGAGAUUUCUGUAGUUAUAUUUAUAUAUUCAUAUAGUUACUUUUAUAGAUUGCUAGAGUUAUGUUUAUAUGUGCCUAUAUUUUUGCAUCAAUAUAGUUACAUAUAUAGUUAUAGAUGUGAUAAAAUUAUAUUUAUAUGUAUGUAGUUACAUUUAUAGAUUUUCUGAUUUACAUUUAUGUAUAUAUAGGGUAAUCUUAAUACAUGCUUAUAUAUUAUUUUUAUUAAUUAUCAGUAAUUACUUUUAUUAAUUAUUAUUUAAUUAAUCAGUUAUAUUUAUAGAAGUGCAUAUUUAUUUAAUUAGAGGUAUAUGGAAGUUUAGAUACAUAUAUUGAGCUGUGUAGGCCUAGGCUCCAUCUUUAAGCUCUUUACCUCGACCUCAGAUGCCUUUUUCACCUCUUGUUUUCCCCUGUGCCCCUGUGUCUCCUUUGCUGUGCUGGGUCCGAGCUGGCGGCCGGGCCGGGCGGAGCAGCAGUUCCAGCCCCGGGUGUCCCUGGAGCGGUGGCAGCUGCCGGUGGCCCCAGGAAGUGUCCCCUGAGGAGCUGCUGAGGGAGGCUGCAGUGAAGAGGUUGAAGACAGCAGGAGGAGUGACAGGAGCCAGCAGGGAGAAGCCGAAGGCCCCGAGCAAGAGCAGUGAGCAGGGACCUGCUGCUGGCACGGAGAGCCUGGGUGAGGCCCCAGGGCCGAUGUCCCAUCUGCUGUCCCUGUCCAGGAGAGCUGCUCUGCACAGGACCAAGAGCCAGAGGGAGAGGCUUUGAAGAUGGAGCUGUUGGAAUUUUCUGAUUAGAGUUCUCUUUAAAGAUUUAUGGACUUGCACAUAGAGAGAGAUAGUUAGAUGGAUAUUUAUAUAUCUGUGUAUAUACCCAUGUAUACCCAUGUGGGUUGUUACUUGUAUGGGAGUAUUUCCAUGUCUAUUAUAUUUAUGGAUGUGCUGUUUAUAUAUGUGUGUAUAUACAUGUAUGUGUGUAAUUACAUAUAUGUGUAUGUAUGUAUCUAAGUAUUCAUAUAUGUCGUUUUAUCUGACUUUAGUUCUAUUUCCUGUGUUUUAAGUUUUCUAGGUAUCUAUUUGUAUUGAUGAAAUUAUAGGUAUAUGACUCUUUAAAUAGGUAUAUUAGUAUUUGCAUAGGUAUAUAUGUUCUAUUUUUAUAUUUUUUAUAUAUAUCAAUCUAUUUCUAUGUAUAACUAUAUUUACAUGUGUUUGGAGAUGUAUAGUUGUAUAUUUGUAUUGAUGCAGUUGGGUGGAUAUUUGGAUUGGUAUAGUGUUGCUUGUAUAUUGAUAGGUUUGGUUUAUAUAUCUAUUACAUCUAGUAUGUAAUAUGUAAUGUUUAAUCUAUAUUUACACCUGUAGAUUGUUAUAAUUAUAUAUGUAUUUAUAUAUAUGUGCAUACACAUGUAUUUAAUUAUAUUUAAACAUGUAGGAAGUAGUAUAGUUGUAUAACUUUAUCUGUUGGGUUCUUAGUGUAGGGCUAUUUAGAGAGAGAAUGCAUAUUUUUGUGUUUCUAUAGGGGCUGUAGGCUUGUAUGUAAUAAAUUAAGUUGUUAAAUACCUAAUUGAUCUUUGUGUAAUAGUGAGUUGUUGCAGAGUUUGGCAGUAAAUUAAGUUUCUGUUAACUGAAGUUGAUAUUGUAUAUUUUUGCAUAGAAUUGUUGUACUCAUGUAAUAAAUUCCUUUUUUUAACUUUAAGUGAGGUUUGUAUAGUUCUGUAUUGUCAACGCAGGUGUAGCAAUUUGUAAUAAAUGACAUUUUUCAACUGAAAUCGAUUCUCAUGUAUUUGUCAACCAGCAGUGGGGCUGUAGCAAUCUGCAAGAAAUGACAUUUGCCAGCUGAGCUGGGUGUUGUGUGCUUGGUGCUAUCCAAAGCAAUGAGCAGAUGUAAAGGUGAUGAUGCUGGGGGAUUUUGGCCAUGAAAAUCUCCAGCCAUGCCCAGCACGUGCCCCACGUGCACUCAGGCUGGGCAAGGAAAGCGCAGAUUUGGGAUGGCAGCAGAGCCACACGCUCGCGGAGAACCGCCAGGCAA
rnacentral:lncRNA from 12 species